rnacentral:rRNA from 1 species
CCUACGGGUGGCAGCAGUGAGGAAUAUUGGUCAAUGGACGCGAGUCUGAACCAGCCAUGCCGCGUGCGGGAAGACGGUUCUAUGAAUUGUAAACCUCUUUUGUCCGAGGGCAAAGGCAGAUACGCGUCUCCGGCUGAAAGUAACGUACGAAUAAGGCUCGGCUAACUCCGUUCCCGGAGCCGCGGUAAUACGGAGGGUUCAAGCGUUUACCGGAUUUAUUGGGUUUAAAGGGUGCGGAGGCGGUCGGAUUAGUUAGAGGUGAAAUCCCGAGGCUCAACCUCGGAAUUGCCGUUGAAACUGGGAGGCUAGAGAGGAGGAGAGGUAGGCGGAAUGUGUGGUGUAGCGGUGAAAUGCAUAGAGAUCAUGCAGAACACCGAUUGCGAAGGCAGCAUACCGG